rnacentral:tRNA from 2 species
GCCUUGGUGGUGAAAUUGGUAUACACGCAUGCUUCAGGUGCAUGUGGCAGUGAUGUCGUGCGAGUUCGAGUCUCGCCCAAGGCA